rnacentral:rRNA from 1 species
ACCUGAUUGAUCUUGUCAGUCAUAUAUGCUACACUUAAAGAUUAAAGCCAUGCAAGUCUUAGGAUAGAUCAAUAGAAAAACGAACCUGCGGAUAGCUCAUUAAAACAGUCUUAAUCUUAUCGAUGAUGAAGGAAGCAUCCUCUGUGGAUGCUGAAGUGGAUACCAAAUGUAAUUCAUUUGAUAAUACAUGCGACGUGGAAUGACAGUUCAGGACUUGAGAAUGCAAGGCUGAUCCAUCAAAUCAUUCGUGGUAUCUUUGACCACGAAGUUGAUCACGGAUAACGAGAGAUCAGGGUUUGAUUUCGGAGAGAAAGCAUGAGAGUUUGCUUUCACUACCAAGGUAGGCAGCAGGCCCGGAAAUUACUCAAUAUCAAUUCGAUGAAGUAGUGACGAGAAAUAUCAGAAUAGGAAAUUUUAUUUGCUGUGUUUGGAAUGAGUACAAUUUAAAACCAUUAACGAGGAACUAUUAGAGGGCAAGUCUGGUGCCAGCAUCCGCGGUAAUUCCAGCUCUAAGAGCGUAUUUGAAAAUUGUUGCAGUUAAAAAGCCCGUAGUUGAAACUAGACUUAUUUUGAUGUUCGUGGAGGAUUCAUUCAAUACGGUUUAAUGGAAGAAUAGUCAAAAAUCUAACAUAUUAUUUGAAUGAUUGGUUGUUUUAGAACAAAAUUCGAAGGAUGAAAGGAAUGAAAAUGAACUAUGAUGUACACUCGAUUGAAAAAGAUUUGGACCUGUAAAAAAGGAAAGGAAGAAAAUCAAAAGACCAUAAUUAUAGGCCGGAUAAAGAAUUCAGGCUUUAUUGCGGUGUGUUUAGAAAAGUUCGCUUUGAACAAAUUAGAAUGCUCAGAAUAGGCUUAUGCCGGAAUACAUUAGCAUGGUACGACGAAAUUGAUUGAUAUAUUUUUGUGUGGAGGUCAAAGAUUGACUGAGAUGAUUGAAAAUUAAUUAGUAUGAAACUGAUGUUUGACUUUGAAAUCAUUUAGAUUUAGACUGGAAUAUAGCUUUAAUGUUUAAUAGGGGUAAAUGGCGUGAUUGUUAUUGAAGGGGUAGAGGUGAAAUUCUAUGAUCCUUUCAAGAACCACUACUGCGAAGGCAUUUUACGAAGAUGCUUUCAUUAAUCAAGGACGAAGGUUAUGGGCGCGAAGAUGAUUAGAUACCGUUGUAGUCAUAACAGUAAACGAUGUUGAUUUAGGAUUAUGAAAAGUUAAUUUGAAGACUUUUGUAGCACUAUGUGAGAAAUCAAAAUAUUUGAACUCUGGGGGAAGUAUGGACGCAAGUCUGAAACUUAAAAGAAUUGACGAA